rnacentral:rRNA from 1 species
GGUUUUGAUCCUGGGCUCAGAUUGAACGCUGGCGGGAUGCUUUGCUACUACGGGCCGAACGGCAGCACGGACUUCGGUCUGGUGGCGAGUGGCGAACGGGUGAGUAAUGUAUCGGAACGUGCCUAGUAGCGGGGAUAACUACGCGAAAGCGUAGCUAAUACCGCAUACGCCCUUCGGGGAAAGCGGGGACCUUCGGGCCUCGGGCACUAUUAGAUGGCCGAUAUCGGAUUAGCUAGUUGGCAGGGGUAACGGCUCACCAGGUUGCGACGAUCCGUAGCUGGUUUGAGAGGACGACCAGCCACACUGGGACUGAGACACGGCCCAGACUCCGCAUGGAGGCAGCAGUGGGGAAUUUGACAAUGGGGAAAACCCUGAUCCAGCCAUCCCGCGUAAGGGCAUGAAGGCCUCUCGGGUUGUAAAGCACUUUUGGCAGGAGAAGAACGGCACGGAUAAUAAUACCCGUGCAACUGACGAUAUUGCAGAAUAAGCACCGGCUAACUACGUGCCAGCAGCCGCGGUAAUACGCAGGGCGCAAGCGUUAACCUGAAUUACUGGGCAGAAGCGUGCAGGCGGUUCGAAAGAAAGAUGUGAAAUCCCAGAGCUUAACUUUGGAACUGCAUUAACUACCGAGCUAGAGUGUGUCAGAGGGAGGUGAAUUCCCAAGCGGGCAGGAAAUGCGUAGAUAGCGCGGAGGAACACCGAUGGCGAAGGCAGCUCUGGGAUAACACUGACGCUCAUGCACGAAAGCGUGGGGACAAACAGGAUUAGAUACUCCGGUAGUCCACGCCUAAACGAUGUCAACUAGCUGCUGGGGCCUUUCAGGGCCUGCAGCGCAGCUAACGCGAAGCUGACCGCCCGGGGAGUACGGUCGCAAGAUUAAAACUCAAAGGAAUUGAUUGGGACCCGCACAAGCGGUGGAUGAUGUGAUUAAUUCGAUGCAACGCGAAAAACCCACCUUACCCUUGACAUGUCUGAAUCCCGAAGAGAUUUGGGGAGUGCUCGCAAGAGAACCGGAACACAGGUGUUGCAUGGCUGUCGUCAGCUCGUGUCGUGAGAUGUUGGGUUAAGUCCCGCAACGAGCGCAACCCUUGUCAUUAGUUGCUACGAAAGGGCACUUCCAUCGAGACUGCCGGUGACAAACCGGGAGGAAGGCGACGUCAAUUCCUCAUGGCCCUUAAGGGUAGGCUUCACACGUCAUACAAUGGUCGGGACAGAGGGUCGCCAACCUGCGAGGGGGGAGCCAAUCCCAGAAACCCGAUCGAACUGACUGCAGUCUGUAACCGACUGCGUGAAGUCGGAAUCGCUAGUAAUCGCGGAUCAGCAUGUCGCGGUGAAUACGUUCUGGGUCUUGUACAUUAAUUGCCCGUCACACCAUGGGAGUGGGUUUUACCAGAAGUAGUUAGCCCAACUCGUAAGGAGGGCGAUUACCACGGUAGGAUUCAUGACUGGGGGUGAAGUCGUAAAUAAAGGCAACUCCAGCCACUCUGAUGCCCCA